UACGUAGGGGGCAAGCGUUGUCCGGAAUCAUUGGGCGUAAAGCGCGUGUAGGCGGCUCGGUAAGUCUGCUCUGAAAGUCCAAGGCUCAACCUUGGGAUGCGGGUGGAUACUGCCGAGCUCGAGUCCGGAAGAGGCGAGUGGAAUUCCUGGUGUAGCGGUGAAAUGCGCAGAUAUCAGGAGGAACACCAAUGGCGAAAGGCAGCUCGCUGGGACGUGACUGACGCUGAGACGCGAAAGCGUGGGGAGCAAAC
rnacentral:rRNA from 1 species